rnacentral:lncRNA from 1 species
AUGAAGCAUAUUAACCUACAAUCAAACACUAUGGUCUUUUCUAAGUUUUCAUCAUCAAUCAUGUUCCAAACCAACACGCACAAAGAAGGAUUGAAGAAUCCUAAUGAGGAUUCUUCCUCAUUAGAAGUUCCCCAAGUUACUGAAAAAAUACUUUUAGCACCUUUAUUCUGCAUGACAAAUUACUGCAGAAUAGUGGCAGUCACUGAACAGAAGCUGACUUUUGUGGAAACGUCACUGAAGCAGUGAGAAGUUGUCUGCACAGAUCACUGGUUGGUAGAUCAUGGGGUCUUUGGGCCAAAGGACAAAUAGCAUGGGAGAGGCAGGAAAUGUUUUAACUGUCUUAAUGUAGGUAGUCAAGCUUGCUAUUUCCUGAAGUGAUGCAUAGAAAUGAACAAUCUUUUUUCUCUUUUUGUAUCAACCUUAAACUUAAUAAAAUUUCUUCCAAAGCUGAUUUUCCUAAAGUC